rnacentral:rRNA from 1 species
AUGAAUGUUUUAGCCUGGAACUGUCGAGGACUGGGGUUGGACUCGACAGUGGGCGAACUGAGAGACCUGAUUCGGUCCCACAACCCAGCGGUGGUCUUUUUAUCUGAAACAAAGAAGAAAUCGAGGGCUAUGGAGAAACUAAGAUGGAGUCUGGGGUUUUCUUGUGGUGUGGCGGUGGACUGUCAAGGACAAAGUGGUGGGCUAGCGAUGUGGUGGAGAGAGCAUUUAAAGGUU